rnacentral:misc_RNA from 1 species
AAACUGCGAUAAGUAGUGUGAAUUGCAUUUAGUGAAUCAUCGAAUCUUUGAACGCACCUUGCACUCACUGGUAUUCCGGUGAGUACGCCUGUUUCAGUAUCAUUGAAAACACACAAUCAAAACAUUUUCUUUGGUUUGAUUGGCUUUGGGUCUAUCAAAAAGUUUGGCUUGUUUCUUACAAUCCAAGCGGCCUGAAAUAUAUUGUCUGGCUAAUUGCAUCGUUGAUGAUCGCUAUUAGACUUUGGCUUUUUUAAAUGAAAUGGAGGUUGAUUAACCAGUUUUAGCUUUAGUCAAAUGGUCAUUGUAAAAAAAAUCUCGAUCUUGGCUAGGUGUUUAUAGCCGAAAAUUUUUUUUUGGCUAUAACCGAAACCAAUAUAAUCACAUUUAGUUAUCGAUCUGAAAUCAGGUGGGACUACCCGCUGAACUUAAGC